CUGCGGUGCGGGAAUUUUUGAAUAAACUGUUUGAAACGUUCCCACGCCUCAUAAAAACUUUCUCCCUCCAUCUGUCUAAAGACAACAGUCUCUCUUCGUAGUUG
rfam:Gossypium arboreum cultivar AKA8401 contig_10153_3, whole genome shotgun sequence.